CACUUGGAGAGUCCUGGAAUGGAAUGGAUACCGUUUUAGCAUUUUUUGACCAUUACAAUAUUGAUCGAGGACAUUUCUUGAAAUCCAUUCGGACGGGGAAUUCAAUAAUCUUGUGAGUCCUUGGUGAUUUGUGCCCUUUCACACUCAACGGAUCCUUAAGCAAUUUCAAUGGGACAUACAUACACACCUUACAGUACCAAAGCGGACCAAACACGAGGAGACCAAAGAAAUGUUAUUUCUCUCAACCCCUACGCAAUGGGUCCACUACAAAGAGGUUGAAUAUUUGGUGUCCCUUG